rnacentral:rRNA from 1 species
UACGUAGGGUCCGAGCGUUGUCCGGAGUUACUGGGCGUAAAGCGCGCGCAGGCGGCGGUGUUGGCCCGGCGUGAAAGCCCCCGGCUCAACCGGGGAGAGUCGUCGGGGACCGCACCGCUUGAGGGCGGUAGGGGCUGGUGGAAUGCUUGGUGUAGCGGUGAAAUGCGUAGAUAUCAAGAGGGAACACCUGAGGUGAAGACGGGUGCUGGGCUGACACUGACGCUGAGGCGCGAAAGCUAGGGGAGCAAACGGG